UGCCAGCAGCCGCGGUAAUACGGGAGGGGCAAGCGUUAUCUGAAAUAACUGGGCGUAAAGGGUCCGUAGACUGUAUUGUAAGUUAUUUGUUAAAUCCUAAAGCCUAACUUUAGAAAAGCAUUUAAUACUACUAUACUUGAGUUUUUUGCAGAAAAGUAGAAUUUCAUGUCGAGGAGUAACGACUGCAGACACAUGAAGGAAUAUCAGUAGCGAAGGCGACUUUUUAGUGAAAACUGACGUUGAGGGACGAAAGUGUAGGUAGCAAACAGGAUUAGAUA
rnacentral:rRNA from 1 species